rnacentral:rRNA from 1 species
AUUGAACGCUGGCGGCAGGCCUAACACAUGCAAGUCGAACGAGUGGCGGACGGGUGAGUAAUGUAUGGGAAACUGCCCGAUGGAGGGGGAUAACUAGUGGAAAAGGUAGCUAAUACCGCAUACCAUCGGAUGUGCCCAGAUGGGCUUAGCUAGUAGGUGGGGUAAUGGCUCACCUAGGCGCCGAUCCCUAGCUGGUCUGAGAGGAUGACCAGCCACACUGGAACUGAGACACGGUCCAGACUCCUACGGGAGGCAGCAGUGGGGAAUAUUUCACAAUGGGCGAAAGCCUGAUGCAGCCAUGCCGCGUGUAUGAAGAAGGCCUUCGGGUUGUAAAGUACUUUCAGCGGGGAGGCGUUACCCGCAGAAGAAGCACCGGCUAACUCCGUGCCAGCAGCCGCGGUAAUUC